rnacentral:rRNA from 1 species
AGAGUUUGAUCCUGGCUCAGGAUGAACGCUGGCGGCGUGCUUAACACAUGCAAGUCGAACGAGGUCCAACCUUCGGGUGAAGACCGAGUGGCGAACGGGUGAGUAACACGUGGGGAACCUGCCCUUCUCUCUGGGAUAACGUCGAGAAAUCGGUGCUAAUACCGGAUACUCCUUGCGGAUCGCAUGGUCUGCUCGGGAAAGCUCCGGCGGAGAGGGAUGGCCCCGCGGCCCAUUAGCUAGUUGGUGAGGUAAUGGCCCACCAAGGCGACGAUGGGUAGCCGAGCUGAGAGGCUGAUCGGCCACACUGGGACUGAGACACGGCCCAGACUCCUACGGGAGGCAGCAGUGGGGAAUUUUGCACAAUGGGCGAAAGCCUGAUGCAGCAACGCCGCGUGCGGGAUGAAGGCCCUCGGGUUGUAAACCGCUUUCAGCAGGGACGAAUAUGACGGUACCUGCAGAAGAAGCCCCGGCUAACUACGUGCCAGCAGCCGCGGUAAUACGUAGGGGGCAAGCGUUAUCCGGAUUCAUUGGGCGUAAAGCGCGCGUAGGCGGCUUGUUAAGUCAGAUGUGAAAACCGGGGGCUCAACCCGCGGCCUGCAUCUGAAACUGGCAGGCUUGAGUCUGGUAGAGGAAAGUGGAAUUCCUGGUGUAGCGGUGAAAUGCGCAGAUAUCAGGAGGAACACCAGUGGCGAAGGCGGCUUUCUGGGCCACGACUGACGCUGAGGCGCGAAAGCUAGGGGAGCAAACAGGAUUAGAUA